GAAGAUAGAGUUGUACUGUGACCACAGUUACCUAGGAGUCUGUAUUUUUAGUUUAAUUUUUUAUUGAUCUAUAAAGUGGUGCACCAGAGCAGGCUAGUCCCAGGUAGUUAAUUAUGCAUAAACAGUUGCAAAGUUCGAUUUUGCUGUAUAAUAUUGAGCCACAUAUUCUUCACAGUAUAUUUUGCUCAUACCUACUGCAGACUUCCACAUGACAGCUGAAUUGCAAACUGUAAUAAAUGGUUGAAGACAGAAGACUUAUUAUAGAUUUUAUAUCCAGCCCAUGAGGAUUUUGACUGAUUCCAUUGAGCAGGCUCAGGUCGUUAUUUAGCAUUUCGAGUGCUUCUGUACAACAUACCAUUUGUAUUCUUUGAAACAAACUCUUCGGAUAUUUCCAGGUGUUUUUCACAUUUCUGACCUGAGAGAAAAUAUACCUAAUGGUAUAAGUAGACUUAAAAUCUAUUUAAAAUUCUCAAAAGUUUCGAAUGCUGUUCUUUUAGUAACUACUU
rnacentral:lncRNA from 1 species